UACGUAGGGGGCGAGCGUUGUCCGGAAUCAUUGGGCGCAAAGCGCGUGUAGGCGGCCCGGUAAGUCCGCUGUGAAAGUCCAGGGCUCAACCCUGGGAUGCCGGUGGAUACUGUCGGGCUCGAGUCCGGAAGAGGCGAGUGGAAUUCCUGGUGUAGCGGUGAAAUGCGCAGAUAUCAGGAGGAACACCAAUGGCGAAGGCAGCUCGCUGGGACGUGACUGACGCUGAGACGCGAAAGCGUGGGGAGCAAACAGG
rnacentral:rRNA from 1 species